UGGGUCCUUUCCAUACAGGUGUGCAGAGAAAGCUAGGAGCCUGGCUCAGGGGUGACUGGCUGCUUCUUAUCCAUGGAAUCCGUCAUCACAUCUGGAACUCUGCAGAAUGUGGCAGACCGAGCGCUGAGCUGGAAACUCAUGACUCACAGACUUUCUGAGGACUUCUCUGCCUUCACCUGGGGAAUGCACUGGCAGAAUGACAUUAGAAGUGAAAAGGCGGGGGAAGGGAGGAAGUGAAAGUGUGAAAUCAGAUUCAAGAGGUUAAAGGUGGUGAGGAGGCCGUGUGAGGACACCUUCUUCAGCGGAGGAAGUGAGUCUGAAAGUCUAUCGCAUCUGCACAGCAUUUAAGUGACUUCAGAAUCUCCACGUUAGGAUGGCUAUGACAAGACCUGUUGGAUGUCUGAGUCACUGAAUAAAGAAGCAUCUGAGGCAAAAAGCACUAAACUCUAUGUGUAGAAGAAACUAAACUUUGUCACGUUAAGCCACCGUGACUGCGAUGUUUGUUACUGCAACAUAACCUAUCCUACGCUGACUGUUGCAACAGAUAAUCCUUUCUGAUCUCCAUCUGUCACCGGCGGGUUAAGGCCACCAUCAUUUUGUGUGCAAAGGAGGGCCAAGCUUUGGUGGAAUCUUAUUAACAAGAUGGCAAGGAUAAGGAGCAAAACAAUUUGACUAGAAUCUGCUACAAACAGCACAUGUUUUGAAAGAUUACUGAUGAUCCUGAACUCUGCCAUUGCUCGUGUUAUCUCCCUUGGAUUAACGGCUGUUGCACAUUUACCAGAGUCCUGCUAAUUCUUUGGGAUCCAGGUCAAACUCUUCUUAUUCUGAGAAGCCCUCCCAUACUCAUGGCCUCCCCUGCUCUUGAUUUCCUAUUAUACUGUUCAGGAAGGAAAAUCUCUUCAAUCUGACCCUGCUUACACAUGUGGGCCCGGAACUGUGGCUGAAACCCACUGCAGUCCUCUUCCUGAAAACCAGUGAUUCCAUGCUGCCUAAUUGCAUUUAAAAAUUAGUCACAAUAAUACCGUGUGCAAGCUCUGUGUAAAGGAGACAAGGGGUGCGGACCAGAAGGCUUUUCUCUCAGUUGAUUUCUUUGCUGCUCAUAACUGCAUACAAAGCAAAGGCAAGAGUUCUGGUGUGGGUCACCUGCAAGCUAGCUGCAGAGGAGGAAAGGAUGCAGCUCAUAUUGAAUAAGAGUCAACAAAAUCUCUAAACACUGUGAAAUAAUAGCAGUAAAGCAAUUAACGGCGGCACGGUGCUCAUCACCUUCCUGGCCCUCUUCUAAGCACAGCGGAUACGUUCAUUGAAUCUUCAUAAGAGAAUGCUCGUUGUAGUUGUGACUUGAGAGAUGAAAGCCUGGGGUGCAGAAGGGGUGAGCAAGGUGUGGAAGUGUGCACAGCGAGGAAGUGCCAAAGCUGGGUUUGUAACAGAGCAAUUUUGAUUGGGAGUGUUGGCUGCUAGGAGGAGGCCUUUCAUUCGGAAUCCUGCUAGUAGACCAGCGAAGUGGGCAUUAUCCUUGUCACUGUAUAGAAGAGAAUUCUGACCUGCAUACAGAUGGAUGAUGAACCCAGUUCUCAAGGCUCAUGGGUGGACUCUGGUUCCAUUGCACUGCCUCAGAUUUGUCCAAGGAAUGAAAAUGUUAAACAUCUGAAAAUAAAGGUUUCUGGACAAUUGAAUCAAUGUUUAUUGGAAGCAGGGUAGUAAUUGAACACAGUAUUUUGGUUUGCCCUAUGAAAACCAAACAAAUUAAAACAAAACAAAACAAAAAAAAAAACCUUGUUACUAAGGACCUGUGCAAACUUUCUCUUCUACUUGGCAUCCAACAAUUAAGACCUGAAAUAUCAAUUAUGCUGUUUCUCGAUAGCACAAUGGAUCAAUAACCUUCAUUCUGUGUUCUUCAUAAUUACUGUGUGGGGUUUUCUGAAAAAACAUUCUGAACCAGAUCCUAUGUAUUAAUCUCCUCACAUAGUUCUUGUUCCUCACAAUGGAGCAA